GGGGUUCUUCAUAUCUCUUUUCAACAACCUCUUAAAUAUCUUGGGAGCCUAGUAAUGCCUUCAUCUGGAUGUUCUAAUUCUCAUAAUUGGUGGUGGUGAGUCGUGGAAUGGGGAAUUGUAUGCUGUUGGACAUAUUUCCAACCUUCGAGCUCUGAUACCACUUUGAUAGAAUAUGUAAUGGUGGUGGAACAUACAACAAUAGUAUGAGAAACUAUAUAAAACAAUGGAGUAGUACAACUUUUUCUCACAAACUCUCUCUUUUCUUUUUCUAUUCUUUGAUACCAC
rnacentral:lncRNA from 1 species